GCGAAUAUAGCUCAGUGGUAGACGCGAAACCUUGCCAAGGUUUAGGUCGCAGGUUCGACUCCUGUUAUUCGC
rnacentral:tRNA from 1 species